UUUUCUCCGCUUAUCGAAAGGGAAUGUGAUUAAUAUUCCACAACUUUCACAUGGAUAUUGAGUGGUAACACAAGCAAAACUGGAGACGGCGGCGUUGGCUCGAGGAAGAGUUUUCUUUUCUUUUUAACAGUUGUUCAUCCCUGGAAUCAGAUUGACUGGAGAUAGGGUUGAUUUACUGGCAAAGGCAGGUAAUUUUUACCUGUUCUCGUGCGCUGACGACGUCCCUUGAAAAUCUAGUGGCGUGAUUUAUUUCAUUGAAAGCCGUACUCAUCACCGCAUCAGGUCUCCAAGGUUAGCAGCCUCUAGUCGAUAGAAGAAUGUAGAUAAGGGAAGUCGGCAAACUAGAUCCGUAACCUCGGGAAAAGGAUUGGCUCUGAGGGUUGGGCCUAGGGGUCUCUUGGUUAAUAUUGCGGCUGCUAGACGGGGCUGCGGCUCACGCUGCGGACCUGUCGGGCGGCUCUUUGGCGGCCUCGAGGAUGUCUUCGGACGUUCCCUAGUGCGAUGAACAACCAGCUCAGAACUGGAGCGGACAAGGGGAAUCCGACUGUUUAAUUAAAACCAAGC
rnacentral:rRNA from 1 species